UCAACUCUUGGCCCACGAGGCCUUUAGCCACGGCUGCCGGGUGUGUGCAGCUAGCCAGAGUCUGGGCGAGCCGGUGGCCCAGGGGGAGGGGAGGCCACUUGCGGGUGGAGCGGUAUCAUGGGCAGCAAGAAGCGUGGGCCUCACGGCUGAGUAGGGCCCCUCCAAUGUGCUCACCGGCUGGUGUGUUUUCAGUGUACAUGGUAACAUUUGCAAAGUAAGAUAGGUCUGUAUUCUUUUCCUUAAAAAUGAACCCCCAGAUGCUGGAAUUGCGCGAAGCUGAGGACAAGAAGGUAGGUAGGGACAUGCUUAUGCCAGGAGGGCUGGCACCUGCUUUUGCCUUAGCCGCCACCAUGCUGGGGACCCGAGGCCUGUGAAGGACACUUUCCAGGAACCCUUAGUCGCAAACGACCCUCUAGGGCUGCUUCUACUUCAGGGCCCUCACGGGCCACCUCUGCAGGAAGCCAGCCCUGAUCACCCGCAGCAGGCUAGGCCACCCUCCUCUGGACUCUCCUGGACCUACAGCCCCUCCCUCCCUCCUUCCCGCUGUUUAUUGCAUGCCUGCUGCCUGCACAGUACGACAGAGGAACCAGCGGGAAGACUCCAGGGCCUUGUUGUGCGUGGUAGAGCCCCGACCGUGCCUCCAAGCGGAACAGCCUGUGCUGCGUUUGCUGGUGCAACCACUCCCCUGUGCUGCCUGGAAAUGAGUUCUAGGUCAAAUAGAAGUGGUGAGAGCGGACAUCCUUGUCUUGCUCCUGAUCUUAGAGCAAAAGCUCUCAUCCUUCCACCACCAAGGACGAUGCAGACUACGGGUGCAUCAUGUGUGGCCUUUAUCAUGUCAAGGUAUGUGACCUUGGGCAGGUAACCCACAUCUCACACUCUCAGUGUGUCCCCUGGGGAAGUGGAUUUACAUCUACCGCAGUUGGUGUGAGGACAGAAGAGUCACCACACCCUGGCCUAGGCAGGGCUGCGUGUGGACACACAGGAGGGCUGCGUGUACUUCCCCUCCCUGACCACAGCAACACCGGCUUCUGCUGCCUGUCCCCUCUCCUGGCUCCUCACACACGACAUAGGCCCCAGAGUUGUUUCCCAGGCUGAGAGAUCCAUAGGCCUCAGGGACCUUACUGAUUAUGAAAUGUCCCGCGUGAGAAAUUUGGAGGCCACCUCUCUUCCAUUGCAUUUAUCUCCCCUCCCAAGACAGUCACCGUGUAAUGCAAAACACAGCCUCCCUUUCACCCCAAACUCCACGUCGCACGGGUAGAAAAUGUCUCUCGCUUGCUGCCGGGGGAGAGUCCCAAAUCUGCAGUUUGGUCCAGCCGGCCCAGGCUCUCUCCGCCCUGAUGAGGGCCCUGCCUGCAGGCCUGCCAGGCUGUCGCCGCCGGGCAGUCCCUCUCAUGAUAAAUUGGACAAGCGGUCUAGACACUACGUGAUUGUCUCUGUGUCUGGCUGCGAGGGCGGGUGGAUGAUGUCAGCAGCCUCGUGCUGGGGGCGUGGCCGGCUCCGGGCAGCCAGGGCAGUCACGAGUCACCAGCAGGAGAAGGGCUCCUCCACGCACAGCCUGUGUUCCCUGUGGGAUGA